rnacentral:lncRNA from 1 species
ACUGUCUAUAUUAACCACAGCACUGUAUUCAACACUGUCUAUAUUCACCACAACACUGUAUUCAACACUGUCUAUAUUAACCACAGCACUGUCUAUAUUAACCACAGCACUGUAUUCAACACUGUCUAUAUUAACCACAACACUGUAUUCACACUGUCUAUAUUCACCACAGCAGGUCUAUAUUAACCACAACACGUCUAAUUCACCACAACACUGUCUAUAUUACCACAACACUGUAUUCAACACGGUCUAUAUUAACCACAACACUGUCUAUAUUAACCACAACACUGUCUAUAUUAACCACAACACUGUAUUCAACACGGCUUAUAUUAACCACAACACUGUCUAUAUUAACCAAGCACUGUAUCAACACGUCUAUAUUAACCACAACACUGUAUUCAACACUGUCUAUAUUAACCACAACACU